rnacentral:rRNA from 1 species
UACGGGGGGGGUAAGCGUUGUUCGGAAUUACUGGGCGUAAAGGGCUCGUAGGCGGCCAACUAAGUCAUACGUGAAAUCCCUCAGCUUAACUGGGGAACUGCGUGUGAUACUGGAUGGCUUGGAUUUGGGAGAGGGAUGCGGAAUUCCAGGUGUAGCGGUGAAAUGCGUAGAUAUCUGGAGGAACACCGGUGGCGAAGGCGGCAUCCUGGACCAACAUUGACGCUGAGGAGCGAAAGCGUGGGUAGCAAACAGG